AGUGAACGCUGGCGGUAGGCCUAACACAUGCAAGUCGAACGGCAGCACAGUAAGAGCUUGCUCUUACGGGUGGCGAGUGGCGGACGAGUGAGGAAUACAUCGGAAUCUACUUUUUCGUGGGGGAUAACGUAGGGAAACUUACGCUAAUACCGCAUACGACCUACGGGUGAAAGCGGGGGAUCUUCGGACCUUGCGCGAUUGAAUGAGCCGAUGUCGGAUUAGCUAGUUGGCGGGGUAAAGGCCCACCAAGGCGACGAUCCGUAGCUGGUCUGAGAGGAUGAUCAGCCACACUGGAACUGAGACACGGUCCAGACUCCUACGGGAGGCAGCAGUGGGGAAUAUUGGACAAUGGGCGAAAGCCUGAUCCAGCCAUACCGCGUGGGUGAAGAAGGCCUUCGGGUUGUAAAGCCCUUUUGUUGGGAAAGAAAAGCAGCAGGUUAAUACCCCGCUGUUCUGACGGUACCCAAAGAAUAAGCACCGGCUAACUUCGUG
rnacentral:rRNA from 1 species